rnacentral:rRNA from 1 species
CCUACGGGUGGCAGCAGUCGAGAAUCAUUCACAAUGGGGGAAACCCUGAUGGUGCGACGCCGCGUGGGGGAAUGAAGUUCUUCGGAUUGUAAACCCCUGUCAUGUGGGAGCAAAUUAAAAAGGUAGUACCACAAGAGGAAGAGACGGCUAACUCUGUGCCAGCAGCCGCGGUAAUACAGAGGUCUCAAGCGUUGUUCGGAAUCACUGGGCGUAAAGCGUGCGUAGGCGGUUUCGUAAGUCGUGUGUGAAAGGCGCGGGCUCAACCCGCGGACGGCACAUGAUACUGCGAGACUAGAGUAAGGGAGGGGGAACCGGAAUUCUCGGUGUAGCAGUGAAAUGCGUAGAUAUCGAGAGGAACACUCGUGGCGAAGGCGGGUUCCUGGACAUUAACUGACGCUGAGGCACGAAGGCCAGGGGAGCGAAAGGGAUUAGAUACCCUAGUAGUC